rnacentral:rRNA from 1 species
CUAAGAAUAUUCCGCAAUGGACGGAAGUCUGACGGAGCGACGCCGCGUGGAUGAAGAAGGCCGAAAGGUUGUAAAGUUCUUUUGCUGGGGAAGAAUAACCGCAGGAGGGAAUGCCUGUGGGAUGACAAGAACCGGCGAAUAAGCCCCGGCCAACUACGUGCCAGCAGCCGCGGUAACACGUAGGGGGGCGAGCGUUGUUCGGAAUUACUGGGCGUAAAGGGCAUGUAGGCGGCUUGGAAAGCCUGGCGUGAAAGUCUGCAGCUUAACUGCAGGGGUGCGCUGGGAACUGCUGAGCUUGAGUGACGGAGAGGGAGCUGGAAUUCCUGGUGUAGGGGUGAAAUCUGUAGAUAUCAGGAAGAACACCGAUGGCGAAGGCAAGCUCCUGGCCGAUGACUGACGCUGAGGUGCGAAAGUGUGGGGAUCAAACAGGAUUAGAUACCCUGGUAGUCCACACAGUCAACGAUGUGCACUAGGUGCUGGGGCGGUAGCUUCGGUGCCGGAGCGAAC